rnacentral:rRNA from 1 species
UACGUAGGGUCCGAGCGUUGUCCGGAUUUAUUGGGCGUAAAGAGCUCGUAGGCGGUUCCGUAAGUCAGAUGUGAAAACUCAGGGCUCAACCCGGAGACGCCAUCUGAUACUGCGGUGACUGGAGUCUGGUAGGGGAACACGGAAUUCCUGGUGUAGCGGUGAAAUGCGCAGAUAUCAGGAGGAACACCGGUGGCGAAGGCGGUUCUCUGGGCAUUACCUGACGCUGAGGAGCGAAAGUGUGGGGAGCGAACAGG